rnacentral:misc_RNA from 1 species
UUAAGUUCAGCGGGUAUCCCUACCUGAUCCGAGGUCAACCUUUGAUAAAUGGGGGGUUACACAAAUGGCUAGCCUUUCACCCACAGUUCAAGCGAGAAGUGCUGGACAGCUUUUACAACGCCGCAAACACGUGGGGACAGACCGCCUCUAAAUUUCGGUGGGGAGGAUACUCAUCAAAUGUAUAAGUCGCCUCAUCCACC